CUCGUAUGUAAUUAGUGGUUGGCUCUCAUGAUGAUGGGCAGAUCACUUUGUAAACAUCUUCACUUUAUUUGUCACCACCAAACCUUAACUUAACCUUUUACCAUUGUUUUUCAAAGUUACGUUUCACUUUGGGUCCUUUAUUUCUGUCACGUCAUUCACCAGAGAUUCCUUGGAUGUGGUUUGAUAGAAACUUAGGCAGAUGAAUUUUUUCGUAAGAAUGAAGGUAUUUAAAAGUAAAUGGGUGGUGGUUGGCUGUGGCGUGUGUAUUAUUAUUAUCUAAUUCUUAUACAAUUAACCAUUUCCUGAAUCCUUAUUCUCAUUAAGUACCAAUCCAAUCAGAGUAUGCAUACACACCUUCGUCAGUCAGUGACUGUUUUUACUUUCAUGUAAAUUGCUGCAAUAUCUCAACCUAAACGUAAAGUGGUAUCGCUGUCGUCGUUUCAAGCGUCGGAUGAAAUGAAGGUUUUAGUCAUCAGUGUUGAUCUGUAAAAUUUCAAAUGGAUCAAGCAGUUAAGUGGUUUGUGUACACAACGACGAGAAGUAAUAAUGAUGCAAGGGUAUCUCUUACUAUGUAUGUACAUAUUAUUCAGUAAUUUAAAUCAUGUCGUCGCACUGAUGACUUGCCCACCCUCCUCCUUGCCCUUAUAUAAACCCGUGGGGUAUCGAGAUCAAAGGCACAUUUGGCCAGAAGGGCUGGGAUAAGUUGUGUGGCUCAGAAAUUUGUUUUACAAAAGAUUUGAAAAUGAAUCGAUUGCAAAUGAUACUCGCCGGUCUCUUGGGAUUGUGCGUAGUGGUCUUUGCCGGAUAUGGUCAUGGGGGUGGCGGCGGAGGUCAUGGAGGAUACGGUGGGGGCGGUGGUGGACAUGGGGGAU